UCUAGCUUUCAAAUUGAAGCAUUAAAACCAGAAAAUUUCUCACAUUGAAUAAGGUUAAUUUGAUGAGGUGAUUUUAUUUUUUCAGCUGCUAAUCAAAAUGAUCUAGAUAUAACCCUAGUACCACCUGAAAGCUCUUAAUGGCCUAAAAUGCUCUACCAUUUGAGUGUCCAAAAGCUGCCUGUCAUUUCCAAAGUAACUGCUAGGGCUGUCGACAGGUCCGGGUCAGGUUGGUUGGGUCCAUUAGUAUCUAUAUCCAGGCUAACCAGGUUCGGGUCUUGCCGAGUAUGGGUCUAGUUCUUGAAGACUCAGACCCGGAUCCGAUCAGGUUUCAACUUGCAUAAGGACAAAUAAGAGAAUUUAAAUUAUUGGGCCCACUGGAUGGAUGGAUUAGAUGAUAGAUCGCACACAUGUGCUACUUUGACAUGUGCAUGGUGCAUAAGCAGGCUCAUGUAUGUGAUGUGGCUUAGGAAACCUCAUUUUGUUGCUAAAAUCAUCACUAUAUAUUGAACACACACACACACACACACAUUGUCCUAUUUAAACUAACUGGACCCUACCCGACUUUAAUUGGGCCCAUCACGUGGACCUGACCUGAUUAGGCCAGGUUUUAAAUGGGUCCAAAAGGUGAGACCCAAUUUCUUUAUGGGUCCAAAAAAAGGGAUCCGGACCUGUUAAAAUCGGGUCAGGUAGCUGGUCCACGUACUCAUUGACAGCUGUAGUAACUGCCUUGUUGUUUGUGUUCUUUCUCUCAUCUCUUUCCUAGAAAGUUUGCUAGCCCCGCAGGUGCCCUCUCGAAACAAACCUGAAACCAGGACAUGCGCUAACCUGGCAUGUGUGUAGGACAUUAGACCCAUGUAUAUCAGGUGGGAGCCGUGGGCUGUGUUUGGAUGCAUGAAUGAAUUGAAUCGGGAAAAUUUAAUUUAGUCUCAAGGAAAUUGCCAAAGUUUACAAAGUUCCGUAGUAUUCGCACUCAUAUUGCAGUUACAUUCUUUUCAAGUCCAAACUGGAAGUUGAAUAUAAAAAAAAAAUAAUUUGAAGUUCAAAUGUGCAUUUGGUUUAUUUCCAUUUUGUUAGAAUAAUAUUGCAGCUCAAUUCGUUUGUGCAUCCAAAUGUGCCCAUAGCAUGGAUGACCUGUCCCCAAAGUUAGGCCGGUCAGCUCAUACAGUACGUCACAUGUAUGAAAACAAUGGAUGGUUAAAAAGAACUUGCCAACACUGUGUUCAAUGUACAUCGCUAGCUGAGUGGACCAGCCUCUUUUUUUUGUCUGGUCAUCUGAAUAGUGAGGCCCAUGACGUGCUCAGGUAAAAGGUGCCUUUGCUAUUGCAUUGAUUCACCACUGGCCCUUCCAUCUGUGAUUGGUCAGAUCAGUUCCAUAACUUGCUCGCUCAGACUGGACUUUCAGUUGGCGCAAUUAAUUCACUGUCAUCAAAAGGAAAUGUUUGGAUUCUCAUUGCUAUUGAUUAUUGCACCAGACAGGUUGAAGCAAUUCCUGGAAGGAAAGCAUUUGACAUUGCCCAAUAAUAACCACAUUUUGGCCUUUGAUUGCGGAUAGAAAUAAAAA